rnacentral:rRNA from 1 species
AGAGUUUGAUCCUGGCUCAGAACGUACGCUGGCGGCACGCCUAACACAUGCAAGUCGAACGAAGUAGCAAUACUUAGUGGCAGACGGGUGAGUAACAUGUAGGUAUCUACCCUUUGGCCUGGAAUAACACGAGGAAACUUGUGCUAAUACCGGAUAAGUCUUUACGGAGAAAGCUUUAUGCACCAUUGGAUGAGCCUGCAUUUGAUUAGUUUGUUGGUGGGGUAAUGGCCUACCAAGACUGUGAUCAAUAGCUGAUUUGAGAGGAUGAUCAGCCACAUUGGGACUGAGACACGGCCCAAACUCCUACGGGAGGCAGCAGUGGGGAAUCUUGCACAAUGGAGGAAACUCUGAUGCAGCGAUGCCGCGUGAGUGAAGAAGGCCUUUGGGUUGUAAAGCUCUUUCGUCGGGGAAGAAAAUGACUGUACCCGAAUAAGAAGGUCCGGCUAACUUCGUGCCAGCAGCCGCGGUAAUACGAAGGGACCUAGCGUAGUUCGGAAUUACUGGGCUUAAAGAGUUCGUAGGUGGUUGAAAAAGUUGGUGGUGAAAUCCCAGAGCUUAACUCUGGAACUGCCAUCAAAACUUUUCAGCUAGAGUAUGAUAGAGGAAAGCAGAAUUUCUAGUGUAGAGGUGAAAUUCGUAGAUAUUAGAAAGAAUACCGAUUGCGAAGGCAGCUUUCUGGAUCAUUACUGACACUGAGGAACGAAAGCAUGGGUAGCGAAGAGGAUUAGAUACCCUCGUAGUCCAUGCCGUAAACGAUGUGUGUUAGACGUUGGAAAUUUAUUUUCAGUGUCGCAGCGAAAGCGAUAAACACACCGCCUGGGGAGUACGACCGCAAGGUUAAAACUCAAAUGAAUUGACGGGGACCCGCACAAGUAGUGGAGCAUGUGGUUUAAUUCGAAGAUACGCGCAGAACCUUACCAACACUUGACAUGUUCGUCGCGACUUUAAGAGAUUAAAGUUUUCGGUUCGGCCGGACGAAACACAGGUGCUGCAUGGCUGUCGUCAGCUCGUGUCGUGAGAUGUUGGGUUAAGUCCCGCAACGAGCGCAACCCUCACUUUUAGUUGCCAUCAUUAAGUUGGGCACUCUGAAAGAACUGCCAGUGAUAAGCUGGAGGAAGGUGGGGAUGACGUCAAGUCCUCAUGGCCCUUACGUGUUGGGCUACACACGUGCUACAAUGGUAUCUACAACAGGAAGCAAAACUGCGAGGUUAAGCAAAUCCUUAAGAGAUACCUCAGUUCGGAUUGCACUCUGCAACUCGAGUGCAUGAAGCUGGAAUUACUAGUAAUCGUGGAUCAGCGUGCCACGGUGAAUGCGUUCCCGGGUCUUGUACACACCGCCCGUCACACCAUGGGAGUUGGUUCUACCUUAAGGCAAGGUUUAAAACCCUUGACCACGGUAUAGUCAGCGACUGGGGUGAAGUCGUAACAAGGUAACC